rnacentral:rRNA from 1 species
AGCGCAGACGGUUAUUUAAGCAAGAUGUGAAAGCCCCGGGCUCAACCUGGGAACUGCGUUUUGAACUGGGUAACUAGAGUGUGUCAGAGGGGGUAGAAUUCCACGUGUAGCAGUGAAAUGCGUAGAGAUGUGGAGGAAUACCGAUGGCGAAGGCAGCCCCCUGGGAUAACACUGACGUUCAUGCUCGAGAGCGUGGGUAGCAAACA